rnacentral:rRNA from 1 species
UACGGAGGUCCCAAGCGUUGUUCGGAAUUACUGGGCGUAAAGGGAGCGCAGGCGGAUAGUUAAGUCUAAAGUGGAAUCCCGGGGCUCAACCUCGGAACUGCUUCGGAUACUGGCUGUCUUGAGUUCGUGAGAGGAAAGCGGAAUUCAGGGUGUAGCGGUGAAAUGCUUAGAUAUCCUGAGGAACACCGAUGGCGAAAGCAGCUUUCUGGCGCGAUACUGACGCUGAGGCUCGAAAGCGUGGGGAGCGAACGGGAUUAGAUACCCCGGUAGUCCACGCCGUAAACGUUGUGCGCUAGGUGUUGGAGGUAUCGACCCCUUCAGUGCCGCAGCUAACGCAUUAAGCGCACCGCCUGGGGAGUACGGUCGCAAGACUGAA